rnacentral:rRNA from 1 species
AUUGAACGCUGGCGGCAUGCCUUACACAUGCAAGUCGAACGGCAGCACGGGAGCAAUCCUGGUGGCGAGUGGCGAACGGGUGAGUAAUAUAUCGGAACGUGCCCAGUCGUGGGGAUAACGUAGCGAAAGCUACGCUAAUACCGCAUACGAUCUAUGGAUGAAAGCGGGGGAUCGCAAGACCUCGCGCGAUUGGAGCGGCCGAUAUCAGAUUAGGUAGUUGGUGAGGUAAAGGCUCACCAAGCCGACGAUCUGUAGCUGGUCUGAGAGGACGACCAGCCACACUGGGACUGAGACACGGCCCAGACUCCUACGGGAGGCAGCAGUGGGGAAUUUUGGACAAUGGGCGCAAGCCUGAUCCAGCAAUGCCGCGUGCAGGAUGAAGGCCUUCGGUUGUAAACUGCUUUUGUUACGGAACGAACGGUAGAGCUCUAAUACAGUUGCUAAUGACGGUACCGUAAGAAUAAGACACCGGCUAACUACGUA